rnacentral:rRNA from 1 species
GAUGAACGCUAGCGGCAGGCCUAAUACAUGCAAGUCGGACGGGAUUGAGGAGCUUGCUUCUCAUGAGAGUGGCGCACGGGUGCGUAACACGUAUGUAACCUACCUUAGUCAGGGGGAUAGCCUCUCGAAAGAGAGAUUAACACCGCAUAACAUUAAGUCGUGGCAUCACAGUUUAAUCAAAUAUUUAUAUGACUAAGAUGGGCAUGCGGAACAUUAGCUAGUUGGUAAGGUAACGGCUUACCAAGGCAACGAUGUUUAGGGGAUCUGAGAGGAUGACCCCCCACACUGGUACUGAGACACGGACCAGACUCCUACGGGAGGCAGCAGUAAGGAAUAUUGGUCAAUGGGCGGAAGCCUGAACCAGCCAAGUAGCGUGCAGGAUGACGGCCCUAUGGGUUGUAAACUGCUUUUAUACAGGAAUAAAGUUAGCCACGUGUGGUUAUUUGUAGGUACUGUAUGAAUAAGGACCGGCUAAUUCCGUGCCAGCAGCCGCCGUAA